rnacentral:rRNA from 1 species
AUGUCGGCGAUGCCGCUCCCCCCACCGCCACCGGCCGACGGCCCGGCGGCGCUCCCGCCCCCGCCGGGGACGGACAUGACGGGGAUCUGCUUCCGCGACCAGCUCUGGCUCAACACCUACCCGCUGGACCGCAACCUCGUCUUCGACUACUUCGCCCUCUCCCCGUUCUACGACAUCACCUGCAACAACGAGUCCCUCCGCUCGCGCCAAAUCCACCCCCUCGACAUGUCCCAGCUCACGAAGAUGACCGGGCUGGAGUACGUGCUGAGCGAAGUGAUGGAGCCGCACCUGUUCGUGAUGCGCAAGCAGAAGAGGACGAACUCCGAGAAGUCUGACGCCUUGCUCGCCUACUACAUCCUCGACGGCUCCAUCUACCAGGCGCCCCUGCUUGGCAGCGUUUUCGCCUCCCGCAUAAGUAGGGCUAUGCAUCACAUAUCAAAAGCAUUUUCUACGGCAUGCUCAAAAUUGGAGAAGAUUGGUAAUGCGGAAACAGAGGCUGAUGCGGCAGCUUCUGAAUCAAAGGCCCAGAAGGAAACAAUUGACUUGAAGGAGUUGAAACGAGUUGAUCACAUCCUCAUGUCUUUGCAACGGAAGCUGCCUCCUGCUCCUCCCCCUCCACCCUUUCCGGAUGGUUAUGUCCCAUCAGAACAAGAGAAAGGGCCAGAUGAUCUGUUGGCCUCGGAGGCAUUGCCUCCUGCAAUUGACCCCAUCAUUGAUCAAGGGCCAGCAAAAAGACCAAGAUUUCAAUGA